UACGAAGGGGGCUAGCGUUGUUCGGAAUCACUGGGCGUAAAGCGCACGCAGGCGGAUCGUUAAGUCAGGGGUGAAAUCCCGGGGCUCAACCCCGGAACUGCCUUUGAUACUGGGUAUCUCGAGUCCGGAAGAGGUGAGUGGAAUUCCGAGUGUAGAGGUGAAAUUCGUAGAUAUUCGGAGGAACACCAGUGGCGAAGGCGGCUUCCUGGCCUGUUCUUGACGCUGAGGCGCGAAAGCUAGGGGAGCAAACGGG
rnacentral:rRNA from 1 species